rnacentral:rRNA from 1 species
AGACCGGCGCACGGGUGCGUAACGCGUAUGCAAUCUACCUUUUACAGAGGGAUAGCCCAGAGAAAUUUGGAUUAAUACCUCAUAGUAUGCAGAGUUGGCAUCAACACUGCAUUAAAGUCACAACGGUAAAAGAUGAGCAUGCGUCCCAUUAGCUAGUUGGUAAGGUAACGGCUUACCAAGGCUACGAUGGGUAGGGGUCCUGAGAGGGAGAUCCCCCACACUGGUACUGAGACACGGACCAGACUCCUACGGGAGGCAGCAGUGAGGAAUAUUGGACAAUGGGCGCAAGCCUGAUCCAGCCAUGCCGCGUGCAGGAUGACGGUCCUAUGGAUUGUAAACUGCUUUUAUACGAGAAGAAACACUGCUUCGUGAAGCAGCUUGACGGUAUCGUAAGAAUAAGGAUCGGCUAACUCCGUGCCAGCAGCCGCGGUAAUACGGAGGAUCCAAGCGUUAUCCGGAAUCAUUGGGUUUAAAGGGUCCGUAAGCGGUUUAAUAAGUCAGUGGUGAAAGCCCAUCGCUCAACGGUGGAACGGCCAUUGAUACUGGUAGACUUGAAUUAUUAGGAAGUAACUAGAAUAUAUAGUGUAGCGGUGAAAUGCUUAGAGAUUACCUGGAAUACCAAUU